AGCGAACGCUGGCGGCAGGCUUAACACAUGCAAGUCGAACGGGCACUUCGGUGUCAGUGGCGGACGGGUGAGUAACACGUGGGAAAGUACCUCUUGGUUCGGAACAACACAGGGAAACUUGUGCGAAUACCGGAUAAGCCAUUACGAGGAAAGAUUUAUCGCCGAGAGAUCGGCCCGCGUCUGAUUAGCUAGUUGGUAGGGUAACGGCCUACCAAGGCGACGAUCAGUAGCUGGUCUGAGAGGAUGAUCAGCCACAUUGGGACUGAGACACGGCCCAAAAUCCUACGGGAGGCAGAAGUGGGGGAUAUCGGACAAUGGGGGCAACCCUGAUCCAGCCAUGCCGCGUGAGUGAUGAAGGCCCUAGGGUUGUAAAGCUCUUUUGUGCGGGAAGAUAAUGACGGUACCGCAAGAAUAAGCCCCGGCUAACUUCGUGCCAGCCGCCGCGGUAA
rnacentral:rRNA from 1 species